rnacentral:rRNA from 1 species
ACGGGUGAGUAAUGUCUGGGAAACUGCCUGAUGGAGGGGGAUAACUACUGGAAACGGUAGCUAAUACCGCAUAACGUCGCAAGACCAAAGUGGGGGACCUUCGGGCCUCACGCCAUCGGAUGUGCCCAGAUGGGAUUAGCUAGUACGUGGGGUAACGGCUCACCUAGGCGACGAUCCCUAGCUGGUCUGAGAGGAUGACCAGCCACACUGGAACUGAGACACGGUCCAUACUCCUACGGGAGGCAGCAGUGGGGAAUAUUGCACAAUGGGCGCAAGCCUGAUGCAGCCAUGCCGCGUGUGUGAAGAAGGCCUUCGGGUUGUAAAGCACUUUCAGCGAGGAGGAAGGCAGUAAGGUUAAUAACCUUGCUGAUUGACGUUACUCGCAGAAGAAGCACCGGCUAACUCCGUGCCAGCAGCCGGGGUAAUACGGAGGGUGCAAGCGUUAAUCGGAAUGACUGGGCGUAAAGCGCACGCAGGCGGUUUGUUAAGUUGGAUGUGAAAUCCCCGGGCUUAACCUGGGAACUGCAUUCAAAACUGGCAAGCUAGAGUCUCGUACAGGGGGGUAGAAUUCCAGGUGU